rnacentral:rRNA from 1 species
UAGGGAAUCUUCCACAAUGGACGCAAGUCUGAUGGAGCAACGCCGCGUGAGUGAAGAAGGUUUUCGGAUCGUAAAGCUCUGUUGUUGGUGAAGAAGGAUAGAGGCAGUAACUGGUCUUUAUUUGACGGUAAUCAACCAGAAAGUCACGGCUAACUACGUGCCAGCAGCCGCGGUAAUACGUAGGUGGCAAGCGUUGUCCGGAUUUAUUGGGCGUAAAGCGAGCGCAGGCGGAAUGAUAAGUCUGAUGUGAAAGCCCACGGCUCAACCGUGGAACUGCAUCGGAAACUGUCAUUCUUGAGCGCAGAAGAGGAGAGUGGAAUUCCAUGUGUAGCGGAGGAAUGCGUAGAUAUAUGGAAGAACACCAGUGGCGAAGGCGGCUCUCUGGUCUGCAACUGACGCUGAGGCUCGAAAGCAUGGGUAGCGAACAGG